rnacentral:rRNA from 1 species
UUAUGGGCAAAUGGUGGAUGCCUUGGGAGCAGGAGGCGAUGAAGGACGUGGCGUGGCUGCGAUAAGCUUCGGCGAGGUGCUUAGCAACCUAUGACCCGGAGAUCUCCGAAUGUGGAAACACUUUGCGGCAAACCCGCAAAACCCAACCCGCAAGGGAUGGGGGCGAACCCAGCGAAGUGAAACAUCUUAGUAGCUGGAGGAAAAGAAAAAAAAUAAAAAUAUUCCCCAAGUAGCGGCGAGCGAAAAGGGAUGGGCCUAAACCAAUGAAUAGUAACUUAGGUCAGACCUCCUAAAAAACUUAGGAGCCCAGUUUGGGGGAGGUCUGACCUAAGUUACUAUUCAUUGGGGUUGUAGGAUGAUAAUAGGGAUUUAUCCCGGGAAGUCAAAAAAAUUGCUUUGGUUAGCUGAAUGCCCCUGGAAAGGGCGGGCAGAGAAGGUGAUACCCCUGUAAGCGAAAACCAGCAAAACUUCCUGAUUAUUAUUCCUGAGUACCUUAGGGAAAGAAAGCCCUGAGGGAAUCUAGCUGGACUGUCAGCUAAGGCUAAAUACUACCUGCUCACCGAUAGUGAACUAGUACCGUGAGGGAAAGGUGAAAAGUAGCCCGGUGAGGGCGUUGAAAUAGUACCUGAAACCAUUUUGCCUUCAAAGAGUGGGAGCUGCCGCAGCUCACUGUGUUUGCUGCGGAAUGAUCAAUUUUCAAUGAUCAAUUUUCAAUCAAUUUUCAAUUAUUUAAUUUUUUAAUUUUAAAAUUGGGAUUUGUUUGAAAAUUGAAAAUUCGUAAAUUGAAAAUUUCGCCAAAGCGAGCAUAGCGAGCUGUGGCGGUGACCGCGUGCUUUUUGUAGAACGAGCCAACGAGUCUUCCUACUUUCUUCGUCUAAGCGGUUCUGCCGCUAAGGCAUAGUGAAAGCAAGCGUUAAUAGCGCGACCUUAAAAGAAAGUGGGCGGGACCCGAAGCCAGGCGAGCUUGCCAUGACCAGGAUGAACGUCUCCGAAAGGCGACAGGAGGUCCGAACCAAUAAGCUGUGCAAUGCUUUUGGAUGAGUUGUGGUAAGGAGUGAAAAGCUAAUCGAGCCUGGGAAUAGCUGGUUCUCCCCGAAAUAGCUUUAGGGCUAGCCCAAGUAAAUAAUUUUAUGGGGGUAGAGCACUGAAUGGUUUGUCAUUGGGUUUUCCCAGAUAAGCCAAUCAAACUCCGAAUACCGUAAAAUGUUCCUUGGAGUCAGAACGCGGGAGCUAAGUUCCGUGCUCAAAAGGGAAACAGCCCAGACCGUCGUCUAAGGCCCCUAAAUUUAAACUAAGUGUUAUAAGGAAGUGGGUUUUCUAUAAUAGUUAGAAAGUUCGCUCAGAGGCAGCUAUCUUUUAAAAAGUGCGUAAUAGCUUACUAUCUGAGAAGACCCGCGCCAAAGUAUGCAGGGGGCUCAAGUUUAAUGCCGAAGACACGGAUUCUUGUGUUUUACACAAGAGUGGUAGGGGAGCGUUCUUUGUUCACUGAAGCUAAUUCGCGAGAAUUUGUGGAGAACAAAGAAGUGAGAAUGUUGGCAUGAGUAACCGCAAUCGCGAUGAAAUUCCGCGACACCGAAAGCCCGAGGUUUCCUUGGCAAUGGUAAUCAGCCAAGGGUUAGGCGGCCCUAAGCUAACUGCCGAAGGGUAUUUAGCGAUGGACAGGUGGUUAAUAUUCCACCCCCUCGAUAUUUUUUCAAUGAAGUGCGAAGUGUAGUAAACAAGGCGAGUUAUUGGAUUCUCGUUUGCAGCUUUAGGAGACAAGAGCUGUGAGGAACUAGGGUAAUACCUAGGAACUUUGUCGAGCACGCUUCCCAGAAAAGCUUCAAAGAGCUAAGAAUAUUGAGCCCGUACCGCAAACCGACACAGGUGGGCAAGCGCAAGUAUGCUAAGGUGAACGAGUGAAACUUCGUUAAGGAACUAGGCAAAAAAGCAGGCGUAAGUUUUCGAUAUGCCUUGCCUUGCGCUUCGCACAAGGAAAUCCUAAAUCCGAAAUUCUAAACAAAGAAAAAAAAUUCUAAAUCCUAAAUCCGAAAUUCUAAACAAAUUACAAAUAUUAAAUUACAAAUUCUAAAUAAAAACGCAAAAACCCCGCAAGGGAAGUUUGUAAUUUAGAAUUUAGAGUUUGUUUAGGAUUUAGAUAUUAGAAUUUAGAGUUUGUUUAGGAUUUAGAUAUUAGAAUUUAGAAUUUUCUCGUGCGGAGCGCGAGGUCGCAGCGACUGACCCCAGGCGACUGUUUACCAAAAACACAGGUCCCUGCUAACUCUUAAAGAGGAUGUAUAGGGGCUGAAACCUGACCAGUGCCCGUGUGUCAAAACUGGGGGUGCUUGCCGCAAGGUAAGUGCUCACUGGACUAAGCCACGGGUGAACAUCCGCGGUAAUAAAAGAGUUGCCGCUUGGCUAAAGCAAUUUAGCCAAAAAAACUUGACUAUAUGCUGGAAACUCUGGCGUACUUUAGGAGAAAUCCGACAAGUGUAUCCGUAAGGGCGGAUGCCAGACAAUCAGCAGGAAAGGUCGCGAAUCGAAUUUUGGAACGUCUUGAGUGGCUGUUAACUUCGUGUCCACGAAAUCCCGACUCUAGAUAGUAUUCUUUCUACUCGAUAUACCGAGAAAGAGGAAUGCUGUCAAAAAAAGAGGGCGGGUAGUACCCACAUAAAGUAUAGAUAAUGUGGGAUAGUGGAAAGCUCUAACAGUCACUCAUAAUAGCGAUAAUGAAUUUGUUAUCGCUCCAAGGUUCGAUUCGCGAAAUCCUCAGAGACUACACGUCAAGCCCCGCCCAAAGCUAAGGCAUUGUGGCGGGUGAAGAUAUAGUCCAUACUUCAAGCGAUUGAAGAAUAAGGUCAAAAUGAACUCUGACCGUGUUAAAGUAGGAAACAACUGCUUUAGUAAAAUUCGGCUAUAUGCUGGAACAUCUGGUGCAUCUGGCAAUACUCUGGUAUAAUUAAGGAAUAAUACUCCUUUAUCAUUAUGCCAAGUAAAAAAUUGUCCAGUGCAGACAAUCAGCAGGAAAGAUUCAAUUUUGCCAACUGGAUUGUUGGCUUCGUUGAUGGAGAAGGCUGCUUUACAGUAAGCUUUUUCUCGCAUCCAAAA